rnacentral:ncRNA from 2 species
UCCAGAUAAGGGCAAAACUAUUGAAAAAUAGUGACGCAAAGCUUCAGGUCUAAGGCCAUUUUUGGCUACGACAGCUGGGUUCCCUGG